rnacentral:lncRNA from 1 species
CUUCCGGGUCCCCCGCGGUCUCCCCCGUCCCCUGCCCGGUCUCCUGUGGCCGCCCCUGCCUCCUGCCCGGUCCCUGUCCUGUGCGUCGGGCCCUUCCCAAGGUGCAGAGGGCGCCACUGCAGACCCGAGGUCGCGGCCACCGGCUCCUGGGCCAGGCCCUUUUUCUCGCCUCAAGAGCCGUCAAGGGGAGGGUCUCCAGGGUGCUUGUUUGGGGAAAGCGGAAACAGACUGUCUGGGCCGCUGUUAAAAUGUCAGCAGCCAAGGAAGAAGCAGCGACCUGGCGUCUGCUCGGGCCAGGGUUGAUAGAGAGGAGUGGAGUGAUAUCGGACACCCAGCUUCAGCAAGCUCUCUCCAAGGGUGAGUGGGCCAGUGGGACCUGGGUCUCCGGACCAAGAAGCCGCGAGCCUGCCCUGCUCACAGUGGAUAACUUUCUUUCUGAAGUUGAUUUUCCAAGGACAAAGGAAUCGUUAGGACAAAUUAUUAUUACUGCUUCAUGGUGGAGAUGCUUCUGGUUUAUUUUGUGGCUACCGCUGUUACUGCUUGGAGUGCCUCACCGAGCCAGCUAACAACUGCGUGCGUGAGCACAGGGAAAGGCUUCUUGAGAAAUGAAAACUAGGUUGUAGGUUUAGGAGGGGAAUAGGAAGGUUAGCUCUGUCCAGCCGAAAGCCUUUUGGUCAGUUGGAGGUCCUUGAAUUUCCUGGGUGACUGCAUCUUGGUGACUUCUCUGAAUAGACCUUCAAGGGCACUGGGGGGUGAUUGUUGGAGGGCUUGGGGAGCUCAGGCAGCACUUGUGUGGGAACUUGGCUGUUACAGGAACUGCAGAAACUGGGACUGGGUUCCUGGGGAAAGGAUUGGGGGUGUUGGAGGCGCUGGCAGGGGAGUUAUGGGGAGGCGUUCUUAUCAGUGUGCGAAUAUUGGGCGUUCAGGCAGCGGGAAAUCCGGGUCCUUGCGUGUUGUGAGCUCCCUGGAGUUACGUUCUUGCCAGUUUCAGCUCAAUUGAUCCCCCUCCCCUGAGCUAUCAUUGGAUACAUUUUACUUCAUUGAACACCUGACUGCUGCUUUUUCUGUAAUCCCUCAGGGGCAGUCAUCUUUUCUGAUUCUGUGUAUAGUUUGCCUUUCCAGAUCCGUGCCAUUUAAGCUAGAAAAGGGGUCAGUUUUGAGAUGUUGUGAAAAUGUUGAAAGGCUCCUCGUUAUUAGUGGGAAGUAUCUGAUGUUGCCAGAGACUGAACUGGGGCGCGGGGAGCACUACGGCUGCUAGACACUGCCUCACUGCGCUGUGGGUUGGGCGGCGGGGGGGGGGUGCUGGAUUCAGUCUUACUGCCUAAUGAUUUGUGAGGAUUUGUGUUUUCAGAGUAACAUGUUUACCUUAUGUUAUCAGUUCCUAAUAUGUGACGUAUGGGCCACAGAUGCUGGUGUAUUAUUUCACAUGCAUUUAUAUAGAUUGUUUUCAGGGAAUUCAGA